rnacentral:rRNA from 1 species
UGUUUCUCUCACCAGCCGCGGUAAUUCCAGCUCCAAUAGCGUAUAUUAAAGUUGCUGCGGUUAAAAAGCUAGUAGUUGGAUCCCAGUUGCAGACGGGCGGUCCGCCUCAUGGCGGUUCACUGCCCCGUUCUCGACAUACCUCCGGUUAUAUUUGUCCCGCGAUGCUCUUUACCGGGUGUCGCGGGGGGCCGGUACGUUUACUUUGAAAAAAUUAGAGUGCUCAAAGCAGGCGAUGGCCAGAAUAAUGGUGCAUGGAAUAAUGGAAUAGGACCUCGGUUCUAUCUUGUUGGUUCUUCGGAACACGAGGUAAUGAUUAAUAGGGACGGACGGGGGCAUUCGUAUUGCGACGUUAGAGGUGAAAUUCUUGGAUCGUCGCAAGACGAACUACUGCGAAAGCAUUUGCCAAGAAUGUUUUCGUUAAUCAAGAACGAAAGUUAGAGGUUCGAAGGCGAUCAGAUACCGCCCUAGUUCUAACCAUAAACGAUGCCAACCAGCGAUCCGUCGGCGUUACUUCGAAUGACCCGACGAGCAGCUUCCGGGAAACCAAAGUUUCUGGGUUCCGGGGGAAGUAUGGUUGCAAAGCCGAAACUUAAAGGAAUUG